UAGGGAAUCUUCGGCAAUGGACGAAAGUCUGACCGAGCAACGCCGCGUGAGUGAAGAAGGUUUUCGGAUCGUAAAACUCUGUUGUUAGAGAAGAACAAGGACGUUAGUAACUGAACGUCCCCUGACGGUAUCUAACCAGAAAGCCAAGGCUAACUACGUGCCAGCAGCCGCGGUAAUACGUAGGUGGCAAGCGUUGUCCGGAUUUAUUGGGCGUAAAGCGAGCGCAGGCGGUUUCUUAAGUCUGAUGUGAAAGCCCCCGGCUCAACCGGGGAGGGUCAGUGGAAACUGGGAGACUUGAGUGCAGAAGAGGAGAGUGGAAUUCCAUGUGUAGCGGUGAAAUGCGUAGAUAUAUGGAGGAACACCAGUGGCGAAGGCGGCUCUCUGGUCUGUAACUGACGCUGAGGCUCGAAAGCGUGGGGAGCAAACAGG
rnacentral:rRNA from 1 species